AUAAUUGCAAUUAUUUUAUUUUAUUUUAUUUUUAAAUAUUUAUAGCCUGAAAAACUAAUUCUUAACUUAUAAGGGAGCUUCACGUCAGGUGGGCUUAAAAAAUCAAACAUGUGCAUUUGAGACCCACCUGAUGGUUGCUUACUUUCCCACCCAUGUGUCACAUUUGUAGGACCAUCGAUCACCUAUAUUUUGCAAACCUUGGGUAUACAAAUGACACAUUGACAGAAAAGAUUGAUAUAGAUCUUUUAGUAUGUCUCAUUUCAAAAUUUUAAAGGGAAUGAUUUUGGCAGGGGAAGUGGGCCCAUGAGCAAGAAUCCUAAUAGUUACUUUUAAAAUGGUCAAAUAUUAACAUAUUCUUCCAUUAUUAAUCUUCAAAUGGUGGAAGAUAAUUUAAAUAACUCUGUGCAACAUGCAUUAACAUCUAUGUUUUUAUAAUGCAGGAUAUUCAACAAAUGUUAAAUAUUGGGAAUGAGUGGUGUUGGAAAAAGAUCAAGUGGAAUGGCACGAGGAGCAGCGUCGAAAUUGAGUGAUGAAGUACAAUGGAGGUUCAUGGAAGGAGUGGAAGAAACUGUUGAAUAAAGAACAAUACAACCGAUAUUCGACUGAUGAGGAACAAAUCACUCGCUGUCCUCAUUUGGAGCCGACACAAAAAUCUAUGGGUGGUUGUGGUUCUGGGGCAACUGGGAAAUCAUUCGCAAUUGGUUCUAUAUUUUGACCAAUUCUCAUUCCCUCAUCUGCAGGAGCAUUGUGAAGUUGGAAGGGAUUUUGGUUUGGGAAUGGAUCGGGGUGAGGUGGGUUGUGAAAUGGGAUUUCAUCGGCCAUCCCCUGCAAAAGAAAAAAGAAAGUUGAUCAUCAGUUUAACUAUGCAAAGAGAGUGGGAUUAAAAAGAAUAAGAGUGAUUCUUUUUUUGUGACUUUUGAAUACAUAUACAUACCUGUAGAUGUGCAAGAUUUUGUAUGUCUUGUAUGACGUUAAAAUCUAUGGGUAGUUGUGGUUCUGAGGCAACCAGGAAAUCAUUUGCAAUUGGUUCUAUAUUUUGACCAAUUCUCAUUCCUUCAUCUGCCACCAGCGGACACUUCAUUGAGUCAUUUCAUUAAACACUUGGUGAGCAACAUCAAAGAAUACCCAUUGCUUUGUUAUCUGUUUUGCAUUUACUUCAAUUACACAGAUUCAUUUCUGGAAUUCCUGCUGAAACAUCAGAGAAUACCCAUUUCUUCUUCUUUUUCUGUUCUUUUACUUAUACUGCCUAACCGAGUCAAUUUGAGUCAAUCCGGGUUCGAGCUAUAUAUCAAACCGAGUCGAGUCGAGCUGGGGCCAACUCGAACUGGGCUCGAACUCAUUUUCAAGCUCUAAAAACCAGCUCGACUCGGAUCGAACUCAGCUUCGAACCGAGCCGAUUCAAGCUUUUUCGAGCCGAGUAGAGCGAGUUGACCGAGCUAUCUCGGUUCGUGUACACCCCUACUCAGCAGAGUCAGCUUGGUUUGGCUAAAAGCCUGUGCCAGACCCAACUCACACUGCUGCAUGUAAACAAUGCUCUAUAGGGCUCGAUGCAUCCAUCAUGGGUGCUCAGCAAGAUGUGAAGAAGAUCAAAGUUCCACUUAAACUCCACAAUGUCGAGUUGAGAGGAACUGCUUGCUCUUGACAGGUUGCUCAAUUUGAACAGAAAUGGUAGGCUUGAAAGGUUCUCCUCUAGUGUUUGCAGGCCCAGAGUUGAUGAAGCAAAAAUGAAAAAUUGAUGGGGAAAUUAAAGGACCUACUCGAGUGUACCAGAGACGGAGACGAUCACCCACAUCAGCAUAACUUUCUUUGUGGAUGGGAGACGAGUUCCAGAUGGGGCCCGCCGGGCCAUUUUAAAGACCCCACAUGUAUUGGACAUGCAUCAGGAAGACCCCACUUUUGGAUGAUGUAUGUGAGUUGUUUAGGAGACUAUUCUAGUCAUAGAAUUUCUAUUUCGUGUCAAUCCGACCGUUGGAUUUUGCCCAAUCAGGCCAUUGGGCACCAGAUCUUUUUAGAUCUGAGCCCCUUGGACUCCGACCUUGCUUUCUUUAUAUUUUUUAUUAUUUUUAUGAGUUAUUUGAUGGUUGAGAUUGAUAAUAUAUAUUUUAGUUUUCUUAUUUUAGACGAUGGGCCACUUAAGUGAAUGGCAUAGUUGUAAUUAUGCUGAAUUUUAAUUCCGAAUUUUUUAAUUAUAAAACCACAA